GCUCACGCCAUGCUGCGGGCGCUUCCCCGUCCCUGAGGAGAGGCGAAGGGGCGGCAGGGGACGGCGGCGGCGCGGUUGCCAAGUCUGAGCGACGAGAGGCAAACAUGGCCCAAGCACCCACUGAUCCGAGUAGUGCAGAAACUGCUGACCCAGAGGAGAGUUCUCCAAAUAUGAUCGUCUACAGAAAGAUUGAAGACAUCGUUACAAGAAUGCAGGAUGACAAAACAGGUGGAGUUCCCAUCCGCACUGUCAAGAGCUUUCUGUCCAAAAUCCCCAGUGUCGUCACCGGUUCUGAUAUUGUGCAGUGGCUUAUGAAGAACCUCAACAUUGAGGAUGCAGGGGAAGCAAUACACUUGGGAAGUCUUAUUGCUGCACAGGGUUAUGUCUUUCCGAUCUCAGACCAUGUCCUUACCCUGAAAGAUGACGGGACAUUCUAUCGUUUCCAGGCACCAUACUUUUGGCCUUCAAACUGUUGGGAACCAGAAAACACAGAUUAUGCCAUCUAUCUUUGCAAACGGACCAUGCAGAACAAAGCUAGGCUGGAGCUGGCGGAUUAUGAAGCCGAAAACUUAGCAAGACUUCAGAGAGCGUUUGCAAGAAAGUGGGAAUUCAUCUUCAUGCAAGCAGAGGCCCAAGUGAAAAUCGACAGGAAAAAGGAUAAAACGGAAAGAAAGAUCUUGGACAGCCAGGAAAGAGCUUUCUGGGAUGUGCACAGGCCUGUGCCAGGCUGUGUGAACACCACAGAAAUGGACAUCAGAAAGUGUCGCCGUAUGAAAAACCCACAAAAAGUGAAAAAGUCAGUAUAUGGGGUUACGGAGGAGUCUCAGCCCCAAAGCCCUGUACACCUGCCCUCCCAACCGGUGCGCAAAACAACAAAAGAGGAUUUCCGGAAGCAAAUAACUUUUCUGAACAUGCAGAUAGAGAGACAUUGUUUAAAGAUGUCCAAAGUAGCAGAAAGUUUAAUAGCCUACACAGAGCAAUAUGUGGAAUAUGACCCCUUUAUAACUCCUGCUGAGCCUUCCAAUCCCUGGAUAAGUGAUGAUGCAGCAUUGUGGGACAUUGAAAUGAGCAAAGAACCUAGUCAGCAGCGUGUGAAAAGAUGGGGUUUCUCCAUGGAUGAGGUGCUGAAGGACCCAGUAGGACGAGACCAGUUCCUUCGUUUCCUGGAAUCAGAAUUCAGCUCAGAAAACCUCAGGUUUUGGUUGGCUGUCCAAGAUCUCAAGAAACAACCUUUACAGGACGUGACCACCAGAGUGGAAGAAAUCUGGCAAGAGUUUCUAGCUCCUGGGGCCCAAAGUGCUAUCAACCUGGAUUCCCACAGCUAUGAGAAAACAAGCCAAAAUGUCAAAGACCCAGGGAGAUAUACAUAUGAAGAUGCACAGGAGCACAUUUACAAGCUGAUGAAGAGUGACAGCUACGCGCGCUUUCUGCGUUCGAAUGCUUACCAGGACUUGCUGCUGGCGAAGAAGAAGGGAGAAACACAUCCUGGAUUUGCAGUCCAUGGACAGCUUCAACUAAUGCCAGAAUUGGCUCACUCCCAGCUACAAGGAGCCCAGACUGCACCACAACAGAAGAGGAUCUUCUGGUGGGAUGGUAGAGGAGGACUGCAGCUAUUAUGAAGCUGUGGUAGGAGUGGGUGAAUAUGGAGGUCCUGGUUUGUGCCAUAUGCAGUGGUGUACUGGUAUUUCUCCAAGCAAAGUGCAAUGCCUCAUUUAGGAAGUGUAAGAAAUCCUCACAACUUAAAAUAGGAAUAGAUUAUACUGGUUUUAAUUGGACUGAAGCUCUGAACUGUUCCCCUAAGUGAUAUGAGCUAGAAGAGCAAAAAAGCAGUAUCAGAUGUGGGAAUGUAACCCAUGGUGGUCAAGCUUCACUGUGAUGGGCAAGAAUGGCAAGAAGCUCAGGUAACUUGUCAGCCAAGCCUUAGAAGAAGAGUGGGGCCCACUCUGCAGGAGUUUGGGGGUAACUUAUGAGACUGUGCUGGCAAGAACAGGUGAGAAUCCUGCAUGCUGGGAGUAUCUGGUCCCAUCUUACCCUCUACAGCCACUUUGCAGCUCCUGUUUUCAGUCUGUGUCAGUGUGUAAUUGGUGGUACUGUCUGCCACAUUUUGUGUGUUAAUUUAUGUUACUUAAGUUCAUAGUUAUGUGUCUGUGUUUGUGUUGAACUAAGUAAUUUUCCUGUAUUGUUUGUUUUUAAUUCAGUUUCUUAUUUAACUUCAUUAAUUUAUGUUUAUCUUUUGUUGACAAUGUAUAUUUUAAUUUAAAAAAUCUAAUAAAAAGAGUAUUUUCAAAAUGGCACCAAAAUAAAGCUUCCCCAAGAUCUGCAUUGUAAUGUAACAUUGAAAACCAAACAGUGCUGGCAGUGCAAGGGCCAUGGCAAUCUCUUCAGGAGUAAAAUUUGGUUGCAGGAUGUUGUCAGCCCACUGCCAAAUUUCUUGUGGUAUGUUAGCUAAAAGAUAGGAGAAUGGAGCAGUCCCUGUGAUGAUGUGAAAAACCUCAGAUUCAAGGCGAUGGAAGGAAGAUUAGCUCACCUCCAGUGGAGAUGCAGACCAGCCCCAGCUGUCUGCAAAGGGGGAUGGGGGCAACAGUGCUUCCCAGGAGAUGACUUCUCCUGCAGGAAGGUGAUCUUCUGGUUGGAGCAAAUUGAGCAGCAGACUGGGAAAAGGAGAGUCCCGAGCACAAAGGAGGGGUAAAAAGAAAGAGGUGGGGCCAGCUGUAGCAAACAAAGCUCCAAGCUGAUGUGUGGAAAUCGUGGAGGUGAGCAGUCAGUGUGAAAGCACUUUGGUCUGUACUGACACGACAAACGGGAGCCUGUGCUGCUAUCCCUCCUCUCCCCUACUGCUGCAGCCCCAAAGCUCCUUAUGGGAUAAAUCCAGCUGGAUGUUCAGGGAAAGUCUCUGGCAAGCAAGCGCCUCACGGGCCUGAUGCAGUCCUCCUGACGGCUCCAGCCGACUGCCCCGUGGGAGAGACAGCUGGGACCACUGCCGGGGACGGGGCAUUUCAGGGAGAGCAGGUCCCUGCAGGGUAGACAGCCUGAGCAAGUGGAAGCAGACAGCCGCGCGCCAGUGGAGCACCUCUCUUCACAGUUUACACCAACGCUUCUCUGUCUGUGCAGCUCUGUAAGGACGCUGAGCUCUGUGCAGGUACUUUGUUUCCAACUGAGGUUUGGAGGAGCACAUUUCACCAUACACUGGAGGUUGACGAGGUGAGGGCUUGCUGUCUCGUUAUUUAAGGAAACAGACCCAAACCACAGCUUGGAGAAAGAAGAGCUGAGAGAGAUCAGUGUUUUUCCACAUCUCUUCCUGGCACAAACGUGACUGUAAUAAGAUGGCGCUGCAAUCUCACUUGCUCCCUUUCGUGUGGCCAUCUGGAUCCAAUAAAAUAUCUGCUGGAAGCUGCUUCUCCUUCUCACAAAAUCCCAAAUGCAUUUCUCCUGCAGAUUCACUGACUUUAACUUUGUUUUUCUUUCCUAUGUUUCUUCUCCUUUAAAGCAAUGAAAAAACUAAAGGCACUAUUUAAGUUCAGCACUCAUUGUCCUUCCAAUAGCAUGUAGCAUGUCCAGAGAUGAUGGCCAGAUCCUCAGCUGAAGUCAGGAGAGCAGGAGUGGUUUUCAUCACCUGAGGAUCUUCCCCCUUGAGUCAGACUCCGAUCCUGGUGCAAAUUCUCUGAUGUCGGCGGAAUCGUUCUGCAUGUGCGCGUAGUGCAAAUGUGAUCAGACUCCGCCUGAUGCUUAAAAAGCCAUGUUUGAGAUGUGCAAUGCGCACACGAGAGCACACACACAAACACACACAUGGUACUUUAAAGCGAGUUGGUUUAUAUUUUAUUUACUUUUCUAUUUAUUUAAGGUUUUGCAUACCUAAUCAAUGAUGGAUGUUCAAGCUUUUCUCCAAGCAAACCAAACCGGACUUCAGCUCUCCAAUCAGAGAGGGCCAAAAUUCACUCAUGUAUCCAGGGAAAGGCAACUCUGAUGUGGGCAGGUGUCAAAAUUCAGCCUACAGUGAGGAGGGAAUUGAUGGAGAUGGGACCAGCAGAAGCAGGAUGUGAAUGGGCAGGGUGCUGGGUGCCAGGUGACCCUCCCUAAACAGCAGCACACCCAGCUGUGAUAUCAUGCUCAGACAACUGACCCUGCUGAGAAACAUCAUUCUGAGAAUGAAAUGGUACCAUUGGAGGAAAUGAGCUUCCACUAAAACUCAUCUGACCUACAGCCCAUGAAUGCAACAGCAAAAGAUGACCCAGUAGCUUGUUUCAAACUGUUGGGGGUAUGGAGGUUAGGAUGAGGACAGGAUUGAAGUGACUUUAAUAUAAAACCCACUUAUACUAGCUGCAGAUAGGAAAAUGGCCUCCAUUCAUAUACAGUACAUUAUCUAUAUAUGAAAAGAAUUUCAAGACUCAGCUGACUUAGUACCACAAAACCUCCUAUAUUUUGUAAGCAGUUCAGAUCUGAAGCAUACAUGAAACUAGACACUUCUUGGUCUUCUUCACUCAUGCCAAGGCAAAUUGGCUUUUUGUACAGGUAGUAGAAACUGUUAUAUAGCUACAAGUCUGCAUUCCUACCUAGGCAAAACCAUCUAGCUAAGUAGACAACUGGCUAUCAACAACAUUCACUUCUGACACAAGUAUUAUUCUAAUAUCUAAGGCCUAUGUAUGCAAAAAAACAUGCCAGCAUAGUUUCUGUCAGAAAAAGGACCUUCCUCUUUGCCCAUGACAGCUCUCAUUCUGGUAUCUCUUUUCUUUCCUGCAGAAAAGUCCUAAUAUCAAUUAUACCUAAGGUCCAUACACCUGCAUGAAUGUACAGUAGAAUACUGAGUAUGAUGUUUGUUCUUUACACAUGCCUAUACUCUAAACAGCCUGCUGUCUGAGGCCUUCAGACCAAAUUCAUCCUCCAUAUACAUGACACAAGUGAGUUCCAGGACUGCAUAACCACCAUGAAUGUCCCGGACAUUCAUGUGGUCCCCUGCCUCUGAAGAGGACAUUUUGUCCCCUCUAAACUGUCACUUAGCUGUCCUUGCAAGACUCAUUUGUCCUCUGUUGCCCACCCAGCCAAAGGGUCCCCUUGGGAAAUAGCAGGUCUUUGUGUAAUAAGCUCACUUGUCCAUUCAUGCAUAUGCAUAUGUGUCCCCUUGGUCAUCCCUACGAAAAUGCAGAGGUCAUCUCUUCUCAGAGCCUUGUCGAUGGUGUUUUUAUCUCUGUCAAACCCGCCAGUGCCAUGCAUCACUGGAGCUCUGUAAGCCAACAGCUGCUCGCACUCUGAGCUACUCUGCUGUCAGUGCUGCCCAGCCACAAGGCAUUUCCCAUGGGAGGUCUGUCUUUUGAACCCUCAAACUGGUCUGCAGAGCAUUCCUGAGGAAGAUGUACAUAUGAAACAUGAAACUGGUGUGUAGCAAGGAGCAGGGAUGGUAAAGUGGUACAUGUGGGUCUCUGCUUUGCAGUGAGUUCCUGACACUGGAGAGGUCGUCUCCUGGGGGAAGGAUGGGGUAACUCCAUGGAGGUGUCCUGCGGCAUGGGGGCAUAUGUGGGCAGGACUGGAGGAUGCUGGCAGGUGAUGGGAAAGGUGGAAUUUGGGUUAUGGUCUGUGCAGGGAGCAGAAAUACCAUACUUUAACUUGGGGAUGGGCUGCUGCUCUGUGAGCAAAGCACUCUGCUCUGUCUUUCAGCUUUAUUCCUGCAGGAUGGUCAUGUUGGCUGCCACAGUAUUUUGCCUGUGGGGAAUAUUCCGUGUUUGAACAGUUGAGCACAUAGAGGGAAUUCUUACAGACAUGGAGAGCAUGCAUAUGGGCGUGCAUCAGGGGGCCUGGAUGCUGAACAGCUUGCCAUUUAAAUGCACACUCGUGCAAACUAAUCUGCUCAGCAAUGGCUAGCUAAGCGGACAGAGCUUCAUAUCCUCUGGAGGGAAGAAAACUCUGCUCUUCAUUUCCUGACUAAAUAUAUCCAAAACAAACAUGAGAGUAGACAAGGCCUUCUCCUGGGAAUAUGUAUGAACUGUUCUUCCUAAGUCUUUUACUUCACAUAUGGUGAUACUAACAUGUAACUAGUUCCACAUGAACUGCAUCCUUGAAUUAUUGCUUUUUAAUGACGUUGCUUAUUCCAAGUGAUGCUACUCUUGUACACCCAACACUAUCCCAUUGAGCAUUGCAAGCAGUAAUCUGCUACUUUGUAAGUGUCCACUGUCUUCCAACUACCUCGUCAUGCUGAAGAUGAGUUAGGAAAUCAGCUUUCCACCUCUGUUUAUGUUCUAAAUGGCAUCAAUUCAAGGAAAGACAGUCUGGAAAGCUUUUACAAUGUCCAUGCUGUACAAGCUAGCUACAAAACUUCCCAUACUUACAAGGCUAUGGCUGUGAAAUAUGGCUGUGCACUGUUAUUUGGAUAAUAGAGUAUCCAGAGUAUUCAUGGCUAUUGUGGCAAAACAGCAGCAGGACAAGCACUAGGAAAGGUUCGACAAGCCAGUGUAGACAGCGUUAGGCUGAAGCAAAUGGAUUAAUGUACUCUCAGUAUAACUCAGCACUAACAUCCCAUAGAGUACUGUAAUAAAAUGGUAGCAGGGCAGCCAUAAAAAGUGGCAGUAAGCUGACAUAAUAAUACCAGAAUAAAUGUAGCAAUAAGGUAACACAGGCCGCUGCAGUAAAGUAGCAUUUUGAUAAUGCAGCAAUAAGACACAACAGGAUGCUGCAGUAAAUUAGUUUGGGGAAUAAGGCAGUAAUAACAGCGUGUGUGGACAAACAGUGGUACGUUUGUACCAGGUACUGCAGCAAUAAAGAUAACACAAGGUGUCCUAGUAAUAAGUUACUACAGUAACAACACCAUGAUGCAACUGUAAAGUUAUAUCAGGAUGCUUCCAUGCUGCAGUCAAAUCCUACAAGAGGUGGUAGUGAGACAAUGAAGACAAAAUAUACCCCGUUUCAGACUGCAGAACUUGAAUCAGUUUUCUGCACCAUAACCCAAAUUCUGGAAUAAUCUCAGCAAUACCAAUCCUCUCAUUCCCACUUUCAAGGAAGCUGAGGCAAGAUUGUUUCCUCAUCCAGACUAUUAUUUUGGUCUAAAAAUACAAAAUUGACUCAUUGUCUCUUCAGCCAACUUGUCACAGACUGUGGUGAAGUUCUUUGUUUAGUCCUACUCAGGUGAAACCCUGGUUUUGGUAAGUUUUUUGCCUUUGAAAGGAUUUGGCUCUCUCAUCUUCUGGCAUGGGUGAUGCUUUUAGCCUAAAAUUAUUUCUGGUUUGGGUGGGAGAAGGGGAACCCAGGUACAGAACAUCUGACUGUACCAGUCUGUUUCCUAAAAUGCACAAAUAAAUGGAGCAUCCUGGAAAAGUCAAAGCAA